rnacentral:rRNA from 1 species
GUGUCAGCCGCCGCGGUAAUACGGGGGGUGCAAGCGUUGUUCGGAUUUAUUGGGCGUAAAGCGCGUGUAGGCGGUUUUAUAAGUCUGAUGUGAAAGCCCUGGGCUCAACCCGGGAAGUGCAUUGGAUACUGUAAGACUUGAAUACGGGAGAGGGCAGUGGAAUUCCUAGUGUAGGAGUGAAAUCCGUAGAUAUUAGGAGGAACACCGGUGGCGAAGGCGGCUGCCUGGACCGAUAUUGACGCUGAGACGCGAAAGCGUGGGUAGCAAACAGGAUUAGAUACCCCCGUAGUCC